CCUACGGGCGGCUGCAGUGGGAAUAUUGCACAAUGGGCGCAAGCCUGAUGCAGCCAUGCCGCGUGUGUGAAGAAGGCCUUCGGGUUGUAAAGCACUUUCAGCGGGGAGGAAGGCGGUGAGGUUAAUAACCUCAUCGAUUGACGUUACCCGCAGAAGAAGCACCGGCUAACUCCGUGCCAGCAGCCGCGGUAAUACGGAGGGUGCAAGCGUUAAUCGGAAUUACUGGGCGUAAAGCGCACGCAGGCGGUCUGUCAAGUCGGAUGUGAAAUCCCCGGGCUCAACCUGGGAACUGCAUUCGAAACUGGCAGGCUAGAGUCUUGUAGAGGGGGGUAGAAUUCCAGGUGUAGCGGUGAAAUGCGUAGAGAUCUGGAGGAAUACCGGUGGCGAAGGCGGCCCCCUGGACAAAGACUGACGCUCAGGUGCGAAAGCGUGGGGAGCAAACAGGAUUAGAUACCCGAUAGUC
rnacentral:rRNA from 1 species